UUAAGCGACUAAGCGUACACGGUGGAUGCCCUGGCAGUCAGAGGCGAUGAAGGACGUGCUAAUCUGCGAAAAGCGCCGGCGAGGUGAUAUGAACCCUUGACCCGGCGAUGUCCGAAUGGGGAAACCCAGUGCAAUCCGUUGCACUAUCGUUAACUGAAUACAUAGGUUAACGAGGCGAACCGGGGGAACUGAAACAUCUAAGUACCCCGAGGAAAAGAAAUCAACCGAGAUUCCCCCAGUAGCGGCGAGCGAACGGGGAGCAGCCCGGAGUCUGAAUCAGCUUGUGUGUUAGUGGAACGGUCUGGAAAGUCCGACGGUACAGGGUGAUAGUCCCGUACACGAAAGCACACUUGCUGUGAACUCGAAGAGUAGGGCGGGACACGUGGUAUCCUGUCUGAAUAUGGGGGGACCAUCCUCCAAGGCUAAAUACUCCUGACUGACCGAUAGUGAACCAGUACCGUGAGGGAAAGGCGAAAAGAACCCCGGCGAGGGGAGUGAAAAAGAACCUGAAACCGUGUACGUACAAGCAGUGGGAGCCUCUUUAUGGGGUGACUGCGUACCUUUUGUAUAAUGGGUCAGCGACUUAUAUUCUGUAGCAAGGUUAACCGUAUAGGGGAGCCGAAGGGAAACCGAGUCUUAACUGGGCGUUAAGUUGCAGGGUAUAGACCCGAAACCCGGUGAUCUAGCCAUGGGCAGGUUGAAGGUUGGGUAACACUAACUGGAGGACCGAACCGACUAAUGUUGAAAAAUUAGCGGAUGACCUGUGGCUGGGGGUGAAAGGCCAAUCAAACCGGGAGAUAGCUGGUUCUCCCCGAAAGCUAUUUAGGUAGCGCCUCGUGAACUCAUCUUCGGGGGUAGAGCACUGUUUCGGCUAGGGGGCCAUCCCGGCUUACCAACCCGAUGCAAACUACGAAUACCGAAGAAUGUUAUCACGGGAGACACACGGCGGGUGCUAACGUCCGUCGUGAAGAGGGAAACAACCCAGACCGCCAGCUAAGGUCCCAAAGUCAUGGUUAAGUGGGAAACGAUGUGGGAAGGCACAGACAGCCAGGAUGUUGGCUUAGAAGCAGCCAUCAUUUAAAGAAAGCGUAAUAGCUCACUGGUCGAGUCGGCCUGCGCGGAAGAUGUAACGGGGCUAAACCAUGCACCGAAGCUGCGGCAGCGACACUAUGUGUUGUUGGGUAGGGGAGCGUUCUGUAAGCCGUUGAAGGUGUGCUGUGAGGCAUGCUGGAGGUAUCAGAAGUGCGAAUGCUGACAUAAGUAACGAUAAAGCGGGUGAAAAGCCCGCUCGCCGGAAGACCAAGGGUUCCUGUCCAACGUUAAUCGGGGCAGGGUGAGUCGACCCCUAAGGCGAGGCCGAAAGGCGUAGUCGAUGGGAAACAGGUUAAUAUUCCUGUACUUGGUGUUACUGCGAAGGGGGGACGGAGAAGGCUAUGUCAGCCGGGCGACGGUUGUCCCGGUUUAAGCAUGUAGGCGGAGGUUCCAGGUAAAUCCGGUACCUUUUAACGCUGAGGUGUGAUGACGAGGCACUACGGUGCUGAAGUGAUAAAUGCCCUGCUUCCAGGAAAAGCCUCUAAGCAUCAGGUAACACGAAAUCGUACCCCAAACCGACACAGGUGGUCAGGUAGAGAAUACCAAGGCGCUUGAGAGAACUCGGGUGAAGGAACUAGGCAAAAUGGUGCCGUAACUUCGGGAGAAGGCACGCUGAUGUGUAGGUGAAGCCCCUGCGGGCGGAGCUGAAAUCAGUCGAAGAUACCAGCUGGCUGCAACUGUUUAUUAAAAACACAGCACUGUGCAAACACGAAAGUGGACGUAUACGGUGUGACGCCUGCCCGGUGCCGGAAGGUUAAUUGAUGGGGUUAGCUGUAAGGCGAAGCUCUUGAUCGAAGCCCCGGUAAACGGCGGCCGUAACUAUAACGGUCCUAAGGUAGCGAAAUUCCUUGUCGGGUAAGUUCCGACCUGCACGAAUGGCGUAAUGAUGGCCAGGCUGUCUCCACCCGAGACUCAGUGAAAUUGAACUCGCUGUGAAGAUGCAGUGUACCCGCGGCAAGACGGAAAGACCCCGUGAACCUUUACUAUAGCUUGACACUGAACACUGGUCCUUGAUGUGUAGGAUAGGUGGGAGGCUUUGAAGCGUGGACGCCAGUCUGCGUGGAGCCAACCUUGAAAUACCACCCUUUAAUGGCUGGUGUUCUAACGUAGACCCGUAAUCCGGGUUGCGGACAGUGUCUGGUGGGUAGUUUGACUGGGGCGGUCUCCUCCCAAAGAGUAACGGAGGAGCACGAAGGUUGGCUAAUCCUGGUCGGACAUCAGGAGGUUAGUGCAAUGGCAUAAGCCAGCUUGACUGCGAGCGUGACGGCGCGAGCAGGUGCGAAAGCAGGUCAUAGUGAUCCGGUGGUUCUGAAUGGAAGGGCCAUCGCUCAACGGAUAAAAGGUACUCCGGGGAUAACAGGCUGAUACCGCCCAAGAGUUCAUAUCGACGGCGGUGUUUGGCACCUCGAUGUCGGCUCAUCACAUCCUGGGGCUGAAGUAGGUCCCAAGGGU
rnacentral:rRNA from 1 species